rnacentral:rRNA from 1 species
CACAUGCAAGCAUCCGCAUCCCAGUGAGGAAACCCUUACAGCCUUCGCAAGGACAAGGAAUUGGUAUCAGGCACAAACUACUGCCCAUAACACCUAGUCUCACCACGCCCUCAAGGGUAAUCAGCAGUGAUAAAAAUUGCCUAUAAGCGUCAGCUUAAAUCAGUCAGAAAAAACAGAGCCGGCAAACUAAGUGCCAGCCGCCGCGGCUAUACCGAUGGGCUCAAGUUGAUAACAGUCGGCGUUAAGCGUGAUUAAAGAAAACCUAAUUAGAAUUAAACUUAAAUUUAGUUGUAAAAAGCUUAUUUCAACGGAAAUCCUCAACCGAAAGGUAUUCUAAUACCCCUCUUGAAUACACGACAAUUUGGACACAAACUGAGAUUAGAUACCUCACUAUG